CCGUGCCGCGCGCGGAUCGCGCCGAGUUCUUGUCCGCUCCGCUCGGCUUUUACCUGAAAACGGCAACGGUCGAAGAGCCAGCCUUAGUUUUAUUCUUGUUACUGCUGUCGUUUAUUAAAACUUAUUCAACGAGAGACUGUGAGGAGGACGGACUGUUCCCUUCGUUAAACAUGUAAGAAUAGGGAGGGGAAAAGAAAAGAUAUUGUUUCCGGAGAAUAAAAGGUGAAUUUGUGAACACACUUCCAGAGGAUGGUUGGUCCUGAGCUAAUUGACAUUUAAAAUUCUCACCAAUAUAAGAGUUGGCAGUGCAAGGACUACAAUGACUCGUUGAGAUAAUGUUAGGUGCAAAAGGGUAAGAAAAGAAAUCCUCUUCAAAGGUGAAGCCUAUCAGCCCAAGCAAGUGCCUCUGACAGAAGCAGAGGCUGCAAGCAGCCGGAGUAUCAUAUCAAGGACUCUCAACUGGCAACCAUCACUGACACUUCCCUAGCAUUCUGCACAGUUCUCCUCUGAAUGACUGCCUUGCAGAUGUACUGACAGUGAGACAUAACGAUAGAGUAUCUGUGGCCUGUGACCAGAAUGUAAAUCCAAAGAAAGUGGUGGAGGUCAGUGUUUUGGAAGAUCGUGUCAAAGGACCCUUG